UAACUACUCCCUCCGUCCGGAAAUACUUGUCAUCAAAAUGAAUAAAAGGAGAUGUAUCUAGAUGUAUUUUAGUUCUAGAUACAUUCUUUUUUGUCCAUUUUGAUGACAAGUAUUUUCGGACGGACGGAGUAUUAC
rfam:Triticum aestivum genome assembly, contig: Triticum_aestivum_CS42_TGACv1_scaffold_030407_1BL